CCAUCACCAGAAAUCCUGUGGUUAAAAUAACACAGCCUCUAUUCAGAGCGCAAACUUAGAGCUGCGAGCGGGAGUCACACAACUCUACUGAUGGAUGUGCCCAGCGGGUUCUCGUGGUGCUGCUUCCCAUCCCACUGCUGAUCCAGGAGAGCGUGGCAGGGGCUCUCCUGCCUGCACACAAGUGAUGGAUCUUGUUGGGAAGAGCUUUCUGAUGGCACAGCCGUGAGUGAAACCAACACAAUAUGUUCAGUGUGGAGGAUCUCCUGAUUUCUCAUGGAUACAAAUUGUCUAAAAAUCCCCCUGCUUCUUAUGAGAACAGAUAUGAUGGAUACCGGCAUGAAGCUGCAGCGAACAGAUCUGCUCAGAGGACGCUGAAUGGCUUUGAAGCAGACCCUAGAGCUGCUUAUUGCAAGAAGCCUCUGACGAAAACCAACUCGAGCAGCACUGAAAGCAGCCAUGGGAGCCAAGGGAGACAAGCAGGUCCUGGUUACCACCAUGACCAUCAGGGUUUGUCCACUUUUCAUACUUCAGAAGGGGGGGUUUAUGACAGGCCUCAACUAGCGUGGUCUUCCCAGCCCAAGAGUGAAAAAGAUCUGGCCUACUGGAGAAGGAGAGGGCAGGACUUCAGCGUGCUGCUGGGCUACUCCCAGAAAGGAGUUACAGAAAUGCAAGGUCUGGCCACGGCCCAUGGGGCAUCCAGGCACCCCAAGGAUGCCCAGCUGAAAGUGGGGCUGAGCACAGAGUACGUCAGGAGAAGCGGCUUACCUGAGAGCUGUGAGGGGCCUGGGGACUGUCAAUGGCAGAACAUGAGAACAGAAAGCUGGAACCAGCCAAAAAAGGUAGGACGGCAAAUGUCAGAUGGUGACAGAGAGAAACUGCUCCAAGAGCUGUAUUCACUGACUCUGGGAGAUGAUGUCCUAGGCUCCCACAACAAAGGGAAGUCGCAGUCCCUGCCAAGAGUCCUCAUGCAGGAGAGCAUGAGGUGUGUGGAAAUGCCCUCUCUGACCAACAGCAACAACUCUCUCAGUGUAAGCAAAGCCCCCUCCUAUCCCUCACACAGGCUGACUGUGGAAUCAGCCAAGCACCAUGAAACAGGAGGCCAUUUUCUUCCCCUGGUGAAGCCCAAGUAUGGGAGACCUGUAAAGCCUCCAUCCUAUGAACUGCAGCGACAGGGCAGGACACCUGCCGAAACUGUUGGUUUUCAGGACCACUACCAGAAGGAUGAACCCAUUUCCUAUUUAGCCAAAGCAAGUGAGCCGAGGCAAGAUGCUUGUGUUCAAGACCCUGGUUUGGAGCCCCCAGUCUACGUACCUCCUCCUUCAUACAAAUCCCCGCCUCACCAUGCCACGAGCCCACAUCCUCUCAGUGAAGUGCCUAACAAUGCCACGUAUGCCAGCAGUGAUCAGCAGGACGCUGCGGAGCGGGCCGUUACCUGCCAACGACCAGCUGUGAACAGUGUUGAAAUAGGGGCUGCACCUUGCAAAGACAACCAUCUUCCUCCAGGGAAACAAAGCCAUUCGAGGCGCCCCGCUGACUACCUGCGUUCUGUUCAGUAUAUUCCCUUUGAUGAUCCUCGGAUACGGCAUAUUAAAAUUGCACCACCCGAAGGUCUGCAGGACAACAUUAAAUACAUUGAAAAUGCCCAUAGUCCCAGUUCUGGUACUUCGCAAGAGAAAGAUCUUGAAGUACAGUACAACAGUGCCUUUCUGGAUGCAUCACACUUAUCCGGUUCUGUCAAGGGAGAAAGAACUUCUGACAGCUCUACCCACAGCAGCAGAUGGUUGGCACCGUCCAUCCGAGAUCAGGAAAAUUGUGCCUUGCUGGACCAAAGAGACAGUUAUAGCACAGCUAAUCACAGCCCCUGUAGUGAAGCCAGCACAGAGUACACAAAAGGCAAACUUCUUGUGAGAAACUCACAUAUGGACAGCACCUGUGAGACCAUUACAAAAGUGAAAAAGUUUGAACCUGGAACUGGGAUGCAGAGCAAAAAGAGUUCAAAGAAAAAAAUGAAUGAAACUAUAUUUUGUUUGGUCUCUAUCCCAGUUAAAUCAGAAUCAAAUCUGCCAGAUACAGAUAGGAACAACAACAUAACCCAGAGCCCUGAUAAGAACGGGUUUGAUAACAAUGGGGCUUUGCAAGAACAAAGUCUCUUAAGUAUGUCUUCAACUGACUUGGAGUUACAAGCUCUUACAGGAAGCAUGACCAAUAAAAAUGAGUUACAAAAACAAGAGCUGUGGAGACCAGAAGAGUUCAAACAAAUGAAUGACCUCAGAUUUAUUCAGUCUGCAAAACACAGAGAGCUCAAAUACUCUGGCUCCUGGCCAGGUGAUCAGUACAAAGACCAGCAAACACAGACCAGUUUCUCUGAAGAACAUAAAAACCCACAGAUUUUCCAUGGUACAAAGCCUGGGCAACCCAGCGGUAACAAUUCACUGUCUCCAAAGCAACUAGGAUGUACGGCAUCCGCAGCUGGGUUGAAACAGACAGGGUCACCUUCUGACGACAGAGGCUGCAGACAGGGUGCUUACGGCAUGAAGGGGCAGAUGCACCUCAGCCAGUCCAGCAACAGCGCAUUUUCAAGAACCGCCACCUCUGUCCCACAGGCCUCCUCACCAAAGGGCCACCAGAGCCAGCCCCUGCCUGCCCAGGAGCGGGAAGCUGGCCUUCUUCCCAGGGCUGAUGUAGUUAAGGGAGAAGCAGGAGCUCCUUGCAACAGUAAAGAGCUGUUUGGGCAGUUCCUUCUAAAGCCUGUCAGUCGCCGGCCCUGGGAUGCAAUAAGUGAGCUAGAAAGUUUUAACAAGGAGCUGCAAGGGCAGGAAGAGAGCAUGAGCAGUGAGGAAGAUUUGGAAAGUGCAGGAGCUUCUCCACAGCCACAUGCCCUUCCACAGAGAAGGUCACCUAGAAGUGGGCACCAAGAACCAAAACGUGGUGGGAAGCUGGAAACGGUUGUGCCAGAGGUGCCUGUUUUUAAGUCAGGGAGAGUUAAAAGUAAGUCUGAAAGUUGGAGCACAGGGACAGAGCAUGGCGAUGAGAUGGGCUGCGUUGGCUCUCAAUGCUCUUCGCAGCCAGGAGGGAGCAAUGAAGAAGUCAGACCAGCAGAUGAAAGUCUGAUAACAGAAAUGAGGAUGGGGGAAGCCAAGAAUAAAGCAAACAGCCAGCCAGUUCGUGCAGGACCUAUCAAGAGAUUCUUGUCCAGUAGCCCAAGCAGCUCCUACCACGGUAAUCCUUUCAAUAAUCCUGUCUUACAGGAGAUGAGCGAAGACCAAAAUUACCUGGACUUUGUUAAACUGAGCAAAGGUGCAGCUCCGCAGAGUGAUACAAAAUUUGAGAGAGGCUCAGUAGCAUGCUUGUCCUUAACUAAGAGGAACCAAGGGUGCUCUGAGCCGGAUUUGAGGGCAGUAGGACUUGAUACAGUCCCAGGACCUGGUGCUAGUAAUUCUGAUCACUCUUCAAAUGCAAAUUCAGUGGAAAUCCCUGUGAAUGAAUCCUUGCAGGCAAGAGCUGCAAGAAUUUUAGGCAUAGAAAUAGCAGUGGAAUCUCUCCUUCCAGAUGACCACGUUGAGCCCCAGCCAGGCACAAGGCCUGCAAGCGAUGCCCAUGACUUUGGGUCAUCAGCAGAGAGUGCAGUAAGUAGCAAAGAAGGAAAAAAAGACAGUUCUUAUGAAGGCAGGCGUAAGUGUGGCUGGACAGAGAGUGCUCUCUUUGUUGGAGAGAGGGACCGAUCAUUAUACCCUGAUGAAUUUCAGACCACUCACCAGGAAGGCAGAACGAAAAUGUUGGUGAAGGAACAAGCAUUUGAACAACCUGUGAGUCCCAGCCACGGUGGAGACCAGAACUUGGUGUCUAAACCAACUGUGUGUCAGCACUCAGAAAAGAGAGUGAGGAGCACCUCAAAAGUGAUAGAGACACUACAAGGCAAGCUCACGUCUCCACCAAGCCGGACUGCCAUGGAUCGCUUAGUGAGAAUGAAAGAAGUUGACUCUGUGUCCCGGAUGAGACGUCUGAGCAUUAAAAGUGCAGACUCAGGAGAGGAGGUGGACGAGGAGAAGCUGUCGAAGGUACAUGAGGAGAGAGGAAGCAAACUGGCAACUUCAGGGGCUGUCUCCAAGCGCGUUAUCUCUCUCCGUGAAAAUGGAUGUUUAGGUGGAAUGGACAAGAAGAAAAUUGACAGAGAUUUUUCCUUAGGUAAGAUCCUACUUUGGAAGAUCCAAGGGGGUACUGUUUUCUUAUGUAACAGACACAAUCACUUUGCUUAUGCCCACGUAGUUCUGCUCAAAUAGUAACAGGCUGUAGGUGGUACUGCCCCCAUAUGGAUGCCACCCCCUUUACUCUUCUUAUGGAAGAGGUAACACAAGUGAUCCUAUUUUAGGAAAACUUACUGUAAAACUAACUUGUGAUACUGAAACUCAUUCACAGAGACUGGAGCAGUCCCUGAGGUCUGCUGUCUGUCUAAUUGUUUCGGGGAACUGCCAGCUUCAAAUAGCUCAGUUCAAAGAUAGUCACUCUUGUGCCAGUGUUUGGGAACACGUGGUGAUUUAAUCACAGCCUCUCCUCAAAUCCCUGAUUUUCCAUCUCCAAUACUUAAGUAGACCCAUACUGUAUCAGAGUUCAGAAAGAACUAAAAAUAAAAAUCUGAUGUUCUUCUGUGAAGCCUCUGGGAAAUGGCUCCAUUAAGGGGCCUGGAAAAUUCUCUCUCAUGAAUAUUUUCCAGAUCACAUGUUGAGCACAACUGUUAUCCCCAGGUCAAAUGGAAAGUUGACUUUUUCAGUGAAUGCCUUUUUUUUUUUUUCCUGGUGUUUGUGUUCCUCACCUCUCAAAAGCACAUAAACUUGGAUAGACCGCGUGCAUCCCCGAAGUAACGUGAGCUGCUCUCUCUCCACACCAGUUUUCAUAUGGCAUUGUACUGAGCAAUUGAAAAUCAGUCGUUGCCAUAGAUCUGCGUAAAGAGAUGAAUAUCCCAGGCCACCUGCCUAGUUCAUUAAAUUAAUUGGAGUGAGCCAGUGCAUAGUGUGAAAGUUGUUAAAUUAAUAUUAAUCUUCUCUCUUUUUCUAUCCUCUUUGUAACAUCCGCCACUCUAUCUUGAAACUCACACAGGUUAUUCAUUAAACUCCAUCAAUGUGAAUCUAUUUACAGUUUUUCGGUACAAAGGGACUGAAACUAAACUGAGCAUACUUUAAAGGGAAUGUAUGUAUUUAUUUCUGAAGGUAAAUGUUUAUGCGAGUUCUAAGCAUUGACUCUUCCAGUCUUGCAGUCUUUUCCUUUGCAUCUUUUUUUAUAUCCCACAGCUCUGCAUCUCUUCCUGCUCUGAACCGUAUUUCUCUAGAGCAGGUUUUCUAAACAGGCUAAUUCAGAUUCCAUGUAUCCAUCAGAUCUAGUGUGCCCCACAUGGAUCUCAUAUGCUUUCCUGCCUCGGGGCUUCUGCUGGAGUGAAGAAAAUAACCGUUGUGGUGACAUGACUUCAUGGAUCCAUGAAAACAGAUUGCGUGUAUUUUAUUGGAGCCUUGUACUCAGAAUUAUUCUGCAGCAAAUUAGGUCUAGUUUUGGUCUUCUUACUGACAAUACUAAGCUUGUAGUCUGAAGUGUGUGCCCAUCACAGUAGUUUCUUUUAACAUCUUCCCCCAUGUCUGCAUCAUGGCCAUCCUUUCCUGCUGCACACAUCCAGCACUGCAGGGUAACACACAUGGUAGAAACAAUCCCCUCCACUGGCUUCCUCCCAUCCAAAGAGACUGACUUGCUGGCAGCCACAAGAUCUUCACCUUGCCUUAGUGAGGCAGGACAGAAGAUUUAUGCUUAUAGAAGGGCCCGAUGUUUGUCAACUUCAUUAACUCUCACUCCAUCUUCCAGACUAUCUCACAGAUACCAGUGAAAGCCAAAGUGAGAACUUGUCUUGAAAAAGCACUGGUGUGUGUUCCUUUCAGGGAGUAAAUAUUUCUGAAGUCCAUUCUAUUUGGAGUGAACUAGGGUGAUGUUAGUCUUAUAAUUGCAGACUGGGCCUCUCUUAGAGACUCAGAGGCCUUAGAAGAAACAGGCUUUCACAUGUAUAAUGUAGCUUGGCAGAUGAACAGUCAUCUCAGAGUAAGAGCUGAUCUUACUAUGCAAAUAGUGCCAUUUGAAGAACAUCUCCAAAUGUUCCCAAAUCCGCUGGCUGUUUUUUUCUUCCUUGCUGUUUGAAGACUGCUUCCGUGAGGCUACUGAUCUGGCCUUGUUUCUGUAGAGAGCAUUGCAAAUUAGCUUAACCAAAUGCUGAAGAAAUGUUUGUGCAUCAAUGCAGGAACUCCAGUAUUUGCCCUUCUAGAGUUCUGACAUUGCCACGAGUCUUCUUAGCAGCCUGGAUCCUUGGGAUCCUUGGUUUAGAUGCUGAAGUUAGCUUUUAAGGAAUAAUCUGGGCUGUGCAGAAGUCUUGAGGCCUUAGUUUCUCACCCCACUCCCCCAGACAUUGAGCUCCUUCAACUAUGGUGAGUUCUCACAUUGUGAAUGAGUCCAAAAACUGGGCCAGGGAGGCCUUGGGAGAACUUAGUUUCUGAAAUGUUAAUCUGUUUUUAUUCAUAGGUCAGCCUCAUGCAGAGCAGUUCGAAACUGUUGUGUGUUUUUAUAUUGUAGAUGGAGAAAACAUUUGUAAUUGCAACUGAAAUAGUAUCUUCUCAUGUGUCCAAUGCACUAAGCUUAGAUGCAGCGCUGAGUGCUGAGUGCUGAGUGCACCAGCCCUCAAACACUAUGUUCCUUAGUCAACGUGGUGUCUGUCCUUGAAGUUUGGAAAUGCCAGCAGAGGCUGAAUGGUGAUAAGCAGUUCUGAAAACAUAGGAGCUGCUGGCACAGAGUCCUUCCUUGGCUGGCCUAUCAGUGUGAGCAGAGUGGAAUUACAGAUCCCACCCCAGCGCCCACUAGGGCCAAAGUUCUUUCUUAGCCAGUCUCUUGAUAUCCAUGAUGCUGCAGAGGGACACACAUAGAAGUCAAAAAAUUCCCUCUGAGGAUUUUUAUGCUUGUUUGAAUGAAGACGUUCACUCAUAUCAAUGUAAAACUCCUCAGGGAGAACAUUUUACUCUCAAGUGUGAUAUUUAUGGGUCCAACUAUUUUCAUGCUUAACUGUAUAAAAGCAAGUGCUAUGGGAGUAUUGCCUGCGGGAGGGACUUUUAAGGUUAGCACAGAUACCCAAGUUACACAGGCACAGCAGGUAGCAUAGGCUACAGUGCUGGGUUGUCCAGACCCCUGUGGGGAUACAGAUGCAUCCCAAGGUGUUUGGGGUAAGGCAGGCAUGUGCAGGGCAGGCAGAUCUCAGAAGGCAAAGCCCUUUCAUUGCAAUCCUCUUCCAGAAUCACAAGGAUGUGGGAUGAAAGAGAAGAGGCUUGUGUCUGUUCGUUGCAUGGCCAAUCUCAGAAAUGCAAAGUGAGGUCUAUCCUGUGACCUAGCGAGACACAUAUGACCCCACCAAAGUUGAAAAGGUGUGAGAUGAACAGAGAAGAGAAUAAAGAUGCCUGCUCUACCAAGAAUGUUUCA